CCUACGGGAGGCAGCAGUGGGGAAUUUUGGACAAUGGGCGCAAGCCUGAUCCAGCCAUGCCGCGUGCGGGAAGAAGGCCUUCGGGUUGUAAACCGCUUUUGUCAGGGAAGAAACGCCUUGGGCUAAUACCCCAGGGUAAUGACGGUACCUGAAGAAUAAGCACCGGCUAACUACGUGCCAGCAGCCGCGGUAAUACGUAGGGUGCAAGCGUUAAUCGGAAUUACUGGGCGUAAAGCGUGCGCAGGCGGUUGUGCAAGACAGAUGUGAAAUCCCCGGGCUUAACCUGGGAACUGCAUUUGUGACUGCACGGCUGGAGUGCGGCAGAGGGGGAUGGAAUUCCGCGUGUAGCAGUGAAAUGCGUAGAUAUGCGGAGGAACACCGAUGGCGAAGGCAAUCCCCUGGGCCUGCACUGACGCUCAUGCACGAAAGCGUGGGGAGCAAACAGGAUUAGAUACCCUAGUAGUC
rnacentral:rRNA from 1 species